rnacentral:rRNA from 1 species
CAUGAACGCUGGCGGCGUGCCUAAUACAUGCAAGUCGAGCGAACAGAUGAGGAGCUUGCUCCUCUGACGUUAGCGGCGGACGGGUGAGUAACACGUGGAUAACCUACCUAUAAGACUGGGAUAACUUCGGGAAACCGGAGCUAAUACCGGAUAAUAUAUUGAACCGCAUGGUUCAAUAGUGAAAGACGGUUUUGCUGUCACUUAUAGAUGGAUCCGCGCCGCAUUAGCUAGUUGGUAAGGUAACGGCUUACCAAGGCAACGAUGCGUAGCCGACCUGAGAGGGUGAUCGGCCACACUGGAACUGAGACACGGUCCAGACUCCUACGGGAGGCAGCAGUAGGGAAUCUUCCGCAAUGGGCGAAAGCCUGACGGAGCAACGCCGCGUGAGUGAUGAAGGUCUUCGGAUCGUAAAACUCUGUUAUUAGGGAAGAACAAAUGUGUAAGUAACUAUGCACGUCUUGACGGUACCUAAUCAGAAAGCCACGGCUAACUACGUG